rnacentral:lncRNA from 1 species
CACUACCAACCAUGUUUUCCCAAACUGCGUUUUAAGCAUUAAGCUUCCUUAUGACUGCUUAUCAUUCUUGGAUUCCAUUAAGAUCAAGUGUCUCAAUAAGUUAAUCAGCACCAGCAAAUGUAAGUCCUUUAAAUUCUGAACCAUAUGAGAUUCUUUUGAAGCGGAACUCCGUCUCCUUGAUAACCACUGCGCCUGCGAAAUUGUCACCACACCUAUACCUUCUUGGCCCUCAAUGCCGCUAAAAUGCGGAACAAAUUCAUUAAGAAACUAUGGUGGCUUAUUAAUACUCAACCCAGGUACAGAUGCAAGCAUGAGUUCGACUUCUCCAAGGACAUUAUUUCUUACAGGGGCAUUUCGGUCCCUGACUUUGUGAAGGUAGCUCUCAAAUAUGGACCUAAUUUUGUUCCGUACCGGAACUGCGGGUUACCGAAAGCAGCCAAUGCAC